UUCGCAAUGCCCGAAAGGGUGACGAAGCGACGCCGCGUGCGGGAAGAAGGCCUUCGGGUUGUAAACCGCUGUCGGGAGUUAAGAAAUGCAAGGGUGUUAAUAGUGUCCUUGCUUGACUAAGGCUCCGGAGGAAGCCACGGCUAACUCUGUGCCAGCAGCCGCGGUAAUACAGAGGCGGCAAGCGUUGUUCGGAAUUAUUGGGCGUAAAGAGCACGUAGGUGGUUUUGUAAGUCAGGUGUGAAAGCCUUCUGUUCAAAGGAAGAACGGCAUCUGAAACUGCAGAUCUUGAGUGUAGGAGGGGAGAGUGGAACUUCUGGUGGAGCGGUGAAAUGCGUAGAUAUCAGAAGGAACGUCGGCGGCGAAAGCGACUCUCUGGCCUAUUACUGACACUGAGUGUGCGAAAGCUAGGGGAGCAAACGGGAUUAGAUACCCCGGUAGUCCUAACUGUAAACGAUGGGCACUAAGUAGAGGGGUUUU
rnacentral:rRNA from 1 species